rnacentral:rRNA from 1 species
CACGUAGGGCGCAAGCGUUGUCCGGAAUUAUUGGGCGUAAAGAGCUCGUAGGCGGUCUGUUGCGUCCGCUGUGAAAACUCGGGGCUUAACCCCGAGCCUGCAGUGGAUACGGGCAGACUAGAGGUAGGUAGGGGAGAAUGGAAUUCCGCGUGUAGCAGUGAAAUGCGUAGAUAUGCGGAGGAACACCGAUGGCGAAGGCAAUCCCCUGGGCCUGCACUGACGCUCAUGCACGAAAGCGUGGGGAGCAAGCAGG